rnacentral:rRNA from 1 species
GAUGAACGCUAGCGAUAGGCUUAACACAUGCCAGUCGAGGGGCAGCAUGGUCUUAGCUUGCUAAGACUGAUGGCGACCGGCGCACGGGUGCGUAACGCGUAUGCAACUUGCCUCACAGAGGGGGAUAACCCGUCGAAAGACGGGCUAAUACCGCGUACACUCCAUCUUGGGCAUCCAAGGUAGAGGAAAUGAAAUUCGCUGUGAGAUAGGCAUGCGUCCCAUUAGCUAGUUGGUGAGGUAACGGCUCACCAAGGCGACGAUGGGUAGGGGAACUGAGAGGUUGAACCCCCACACUGGUACUGAGACACGGACCAGACUCCUACGGGAGGCAGCAGUGAGGAAGAUUGGUCAAUGGGCGAGAGCCUGAACCAGCCAAGUCGCGUGAAGGAUGACUGUCUUAUGGAUUGUAAACUUCUUUUAUACGGGAAUAACAAGAGUCACGUGUGACUACCUGCAUGUACCGUAUGAAUAAGCAUCGACUAACUCCGUG